rnacentral:rRNA from 1 species
CCUACGGGGGGCAGCAGUAGGGAAUCUUCCGCAAUGGACGAAAGACUGACGGAGCAACGCCGCGUGAGCGAAGAAGGUCUUCGGAUCGUAAAGCUCUGUUGUUAGGGAAGAACAAGUACGGGAGGAAAUGACCGUACCUUGACGGUACCUGACGAGGAAGCCACGGCUAACUACGUGCCAGCAGCCGCGGUAAUACGUAGGUGGCAAGCGUUGUCCGGAAUUAUUGGGCGUAAAGCGCGCGCAGGCGGUCUUUUAAGUCUGAUGUGAAAUCUUGCGGCUCAACCGCAAGCGGUCAUUGGAAACAGGGAGACUUGAGUGCAGGAGGGGAAAGCGGUAUUCCACGUCUUGCGGUGAAAUGCGUAGAGAUGUGGAGGAACACCAGUGGCGAAGGCUGCUUUCUGGUCUGUAACUGACGCUGCGGCGCGAGAGCGUGGGGUGCAAACAGGAUUAGAUACCCGUGUAGUC